UGGGGAAUAUUGGACAAUGGGCGCAAGCCUGAUCCAGCCAUGCCGCGUGAGUGAUGAAGGCCCUAGGGUUGUAAAGCUCUUUCACCGGUGAAGAUAAUGACGGUAACCGGAGAAGAAGCCCCGGCUAACUUCGUGCCAGCAGCCGCGGUAAUACGAAGGGGGCUAGCGUUGUUCGGAUUUACUGGGCGUAAAGCGCACGUAGGCGGACUUUUAAGUCAGGGGUGAAAUCCCGGGGCUCAACCCCGGAACUGCCUUUGAUACUGGAAGUCUUGAGUAUGGUAGAGGUGAGGGGAAUUCCGAGUGUAGAGGUGAAAUUCGUAGAUAUUCGGAGGAACACCAGUGGCGAAGGCGGCUCACUGGACCAUUACUGACGCUGAGAUGCGAAAGCGUGGGGAGCAAGCAGG
rnacentral:rRNA from 1 species